CCUACGGGAGGCUGCAGUGAGGAAUAUUGGUCAAUGGACGAGAGUCUGAACCAGCCAAGUAGCGUGAAGGAUGACUGCCCUAUGGGUUGUAAACUUCUUUUAUAUGGGAAUAAAAUGUUCCACGUGUGGGCUUUUGUAUGUACCAUAUGAAUAAGGAUCGGCUAACUCCGUGCCAGCAGCCGCGGUAAUACGGAGGAUCCGAGCGUUAUCCGGAUUUAUUGGGUUUAAAGGGAGCGUAGGUGGAUUGUUAAGUCAGUUGUGAAAGUUUGCGGCUCAACCGUAAAAUUGCAGUUGAAACUGGCAGUCUUGUGUACAGUAGAGGUGGGCGGAAUGCGUGGUGUAGCGGUGAAAUGCUUAGAUAUCACGAAGAACUCCGAUUGCGAAGGCAGCUCACUGGACUGCAACUGACACUGAGGCUCGAAAGUGUGGGUAUCAAACAGGAUUAGAUACCCUUGUAGUC
rnacentral:rRNA from 1 species